GCGGGUGAUGCGUACAAAAGGGGGCUGUAAGAUGCUGUUUUGUAAGUGUAAAUUCUUAUAUCUUGUAAUCAGUAGGUCGCGGGUUCGACUCCUGCUGCCGGCACCA
rnacentral:tRNA from 1 species